rnacentral:tRNA from 1 species
GUGGCUGUAGCUCAGUCGGUAGAGCAUCUGGUUGUGGUCCAGAAGGUCGCGGGUUCGAGCCCCGUCAGCCACCCCA